AGAAUCAACGCUGGCGGCGUGCCUCAGAUAUGCAAGUCGAACGCGAAAGUUCCCUUCGGGGGAUGAGUAGAGUGGCGCACGGGUGAGUAACACGUAGGUAAUCUACCUUCGGAUGGGGAAUAACAACCGGAAACGGUUGCUAAUACCGCAUAAUGCAGCGGCACCUAAUGGUGACAGUUGUUAAAGCGGGGGAUCGAAAGACCUCGCGUCUGAAGAGGAGCCUGCGGCGGAUUAGCUAGUUGGUAGGGUAACGGCCUACCAAGGCGACGAUCCGUA
rnacentral:rRNA from 1 species